AGUGGCAGACGGGUGAGUAACGCGUAGGAAUCUACCCUUUAGUGUGGAAUAGCUCGCCGAAAGGCGGGGUAAUACCGCAUAAGAUCUUCGGAUGAAAGGCCGUAACUGGCCGCCGAUGGAGAAGCCUGCGUCCUAUCAGCUUGUUGGUGAGGUAAUGGCUCACCAAGGCUAUGACGGGUAGGGGGCGUGAGAGCGCGACCCCCCACAAGGUCACUGAAACACGGGGCCUACACCUACGGGUGGCAGCAACCGGGAAUAUUGCGCAAUGGGCGAAAGCCUGACGCAGCGACACCGCGUGGAGGAAGAAGCUUUUCGGAGUGUAAACUCCUUUUGCGAGGGAAGAAGUUCUGACGGUACCUCGCGAAUAAGGACCUGCAAACUACGUGCCAGCAGCCGCGGUAAAACGUAGGGUCCAAGCGUUAUCCGGAUUUACUGGGCGUAAAGUGUUCCGUAGGUUGUUUAUCAAGUAUGUCGUCAAAGCCCGAGGCUUAACUUCGGAAAGGCGAUGUAAACUGAUUAACUAGAGGGUAUUCGGGAGUGCUGGAAUUCACGGUGGAGGGGUGAAAUCCGUUGAUAUCGUGAAGAACACCGAGGGCGAAGGCAGGCACUUAGGAUAUUCCUGACACUGAUGGACGAAAGCUAGGGUAGCAAAAGGGAUUAGAGACCCCUGUAGUCCUAGCCGUAAACGAUCCUUACUAGA
rnacentral:rRNA from 1 species